AUUGAACGCUGGCGGCAGGCUUAACACAUGCAAGUCGAACGAGUGGCGGACGGGUGAGUAAUGUCUGGGAAACUGCCUGAUGGAGGGGGAUAACUACUGGAAACGGUAGCUAAUACCGCAUACCAUCAGAUGUGCCCAGAUGGGAUUAGCUGGUAGGUGGGGGAACGGCUCACCAAGGCGACGAUCCCUAGCUGGUCUGAGAGGAUGACCAGCCACACUGGAACUGAGACACGGUCCAGACUCCUACGGGAGGCAGCAGUGGGGAAUAUUGCACAAUGGGCGCAAGCCGGAUGCAGCCAUGCCGCGUGUAUGAAGAAGUCCUUCGGGUUGUAAAGCACUUUCAGCGAGGAGGCGUUACCCGCAGAAGAAGCACCGGCUAACUCCGUGCCAGCAGCCGCGGUAAUAC
rnacentral:rRNA from 1 species